rnacentral:rRNA from 1 species
GAGACAGCAGCCGCCGCGGUAAUACAGAGGGUGCGAGCGUUAAUCGGAUUUACUGGGCGUAAAGCGUGCGUAGGCGGCUUUUUAAGUCGGAUGUGAAAUCCCUGAGCUUAACUUAGGAAUUGCAUUCGAUACUGGGAAGCUAGAGUAUGGGAGAGGAUGGUAGAAUUCCAGGUGUAGCGGUGAAAUGCGUAGAGAUCUGGAGGAAUACCGAUGGCGAAGGCAGCCAUCUGGCCUAAUACUGACGCUGAGGUACGAAAGCAUGGGGAGCAAACAGGAUUAGAUACCCCAGUAGUCCCUGUCUCUUAUAA